rnacentral:rRNA from 1 species
GGGGGGAGCAAGCGUUGUUCGGAUUCAUUGGGCGUAAAGGGCUCGUAGGCCGCUCUGUAAGUCGGAAGUGAAAGACCACGGCUCAACCGUGGAAACGCUUUCGAAACUGUGGAGCUUGAGGCCGGGAGAGGAGAUCGGAAUUCCUGGUGUAGCGGUGAAAUGCGUAGAUAUCAGGAGGAACACCCGUGGCGAAGGCGGAUCUCUGGACCGGUUCUGACGCUGAUGAGCGAAAGCCAGGGGAGCAAACAGGAUUAGAUACCCUGGUAGUCCUGGCUGUAAACGAUGGGCACUAGGUGUGGGGGGAUCGACCCCUUCCGUGCCGCAGUUAACGCAUUAAGUGCCCCGCCUGGGGAGUACGACCGCAAGGUUGAA